CCUACGGUGUGCAGCAGUGAGGAAUAUUGGUCAAUGGUCGGGAGACUGAACGAGCCAAGCCGCGUGAGGGAUGAAGGUACAGAGUAUCGUAAACCUCUUUUGUCAGGGAACAAAGGCGGGGACGUGUCCCCGGAUGAGUGUACCUGAAGAAAAAGCAUCGGCUAACUCCGUGCCAGCAGCCGCGGUAAUACGGAGGAUUCAAGCGUUAUCCGGAUUUAUUGGGUUUAAAGGGUGCGUAGGCGGUCGGAUAAGUUAUAGGUGAAAUCCCGAGGCUCAACUUCGGAAUGGCCUAUGAUACUGUUCGGGUAGAGAAUAGUUGCGGUAGGCGGAAUGUAUGGUGUAGCGGUGAAAUGCUUAGAGAUCAUACAGAACACCGAUUGCGAAGGCAGCUUACCAAGCUACUUCUGACGUUGAGGCACGAAGGCGUGGGGAGCAAACAGGAUUAGAUACCCCAGUAGUC
rnacentral:rRNA from 1 species